CAGAACUCGGAACCCUGGAGUCACUGGGCACCACAGUCCAGCGACGGCUGCCUAACAGUCACUUGGCUGGAGAGAGUCAGCAGCGAUCAUGCUGUGCUGCUUUCCCAGGCCUCGAGGCUGCAGCAACAGGACCCCACGCAGGGAAAGCACUUGGGUGCAAGUGAGAGGUUGGAUGGCUGAGUCCCUGUGCUUUAGGCCACUCACCAGGAACUGGUUGGCCAUCAGGGGCAGCACAGGGCGGGUCUCACCAGACCCAGAGACCUGGGGACCUGAGAUGAGCGGGAGCCCAGGGCAGAUCUCCCUGGACCUGGACACCAGAGACUCGGGGCCACCGAGUCCAGGACAGGUCCAGUUAGGCCCGGCCACCACUAUUGUGGCCCAAUGGGAGGAGAGCCGAGCAGAGGACUGCAUGGUGAGGAUGGCACUGGCAGGCAUGCAGCACCCCUCAAGGGAGCCCCCAGAAUGGGACUUCCUGGACAGCCACCCCAUCCACAUGGACUCCCUCCUGUACCCCUCUGGAGCCUGCAUUCCCGCCCUGCAGGAGGGGAUGGUACUAAGAUGUGGAUCCACAGCAGUGCAAGAGGAGCCCAGGAGCGGCAUAGACACCGGGCA
ensembl:lncRNA